CGAGGUUCCUUUGGUGAACCCC
rnacentral:snRNA from 1 species